rnacentral:lncRNA from 1 species
UGAGGGUCAGCAAUGCCCUCCAGAAGCCCUCAGUGACCCCCGAGGGCUGCUGAGAGGCCCAGCAGGUAAAAGUGCUUGCUACAGAGCCUGAGGAUCUGAGCUUGAUCGCUCGGCUCCACGUGGUGAAAAUUCCUACGUUCUGAGCUCUGUCCUCUGACUUCCACGCUUUAGCCUUGGCAUGUAUAUGUGGUCUUCACAGGUGUCAUGUGUGCUAUCCCUCACUCCCACCCCAUCUCACGCACACAAAUGU